CCUGGACCGCCCACCGCGGGUUCGUCGCCGUACCCGUGGUGGCCGGUGUGCGCGCUUCCGGCGCGGGUGCCGAAGCCGCCGCUGCUCAAGUGGCUCAGAACUACGCGGCGUGCCGACGGCGUCGUGCGUGAGGGAAAGGCCGGCGGCAGCGGUAGGUCCCCCGUCCCACGCCGGAAGACCUCUCUGUCUCUAGCUUUCGACCGCUAGCAUCCCGCCCCUCUCCUCCUCUGCGGCUUCUCGCCACCCUCUGCUUUCCCCCUCGCCCUUUCUCCAACCUCCCCUCCCCGUUCUGCUCCCCAUCCAUGGCCUCGGCUGGCGGACGAGCGAUGCCCGCGCCCGUCCCUCACCGACGCCAUCAAGUCCCUCGUCGCCCAGAUCCUCGGUUGCGUUCCCCUAUCAUCCCGUCCCUUACUCGCCGCGCUCCCUCCCGCUCCCCUGCAUAGCUCAUCCCGUGGCGCCACCAAUUCGCCCCUCUCCACGAGCAACUCUGAAUUCUUUGCCUCCAAUUCGGCAACCAUGACCUUCAAUUCGGCGGUGUCGGCAUCCUAAUCUCCUCCUUAUCCUCCAGGAUUUCCUUCCAUAGCACAAUCCCUCCAAUCCGCGAGCAUCUCAUCCUUGUUUGCUCCGGCAGGGUGGCCCUCUGUCCACUGCAGUCCCAACCGUCCUGCACCAGAGGUAUUGUCUCCUAUCGUCCACUUUUGCAUACUGCUGCGUUUUUUUCAUUCUGAAUGUUUAAUCGUGCUGUUCAAAAUUGAUGCAUUGUUACAGUAAGACAACAAAGAACCUUGGUUAAAUGAAAGUAAGGUAAAUUAUUGUAUGAUAAUAAAAUUCAUAGUUCCUUUCUAUUCCAGUCAAUCAUAUUUAAGGGAUCAGUAUCUGCAAUGUUCAAUGUACCAGAUCCAAAAUUCAGAUUAUGGAUAUCUAGAAGUUAUCAUUGUUAUGUUUUUUCAGAAUUUGUUUAGAAGCUAUGCAUUUGUAUCAAAUAAGCUAUAUGAUUUAUUUUACCAGUGAAAGUUUCUGAGAUAUUUUUGAAGCUAUACGUUCAGAUCUCAUUAUUUUAUUGGAGUUAAUCCCAUCCUGAGUUCAACUAAACCAUGUUAAAUAGUUCAUUUUUUGGAAGAAACCUAAUGGAUGUCUGAAGUAUCAGCAAUUUUUAGUACUCCUAAUCAUCUAAAGAUGAGCACAUCAUCAGGUUAGGUGGUGCGGUAACUUCUCAGGUACGGUGCGUCUGUGGCCACCUUGAACUGUCAAUGAAAGUGUACUUGUAUUGUUAGAUCAGUCCAUUUUUUUACUCAUUUGAUGUUUCAGAUGCUUUAAAAAACACAAAGUUUCUUUUUCGUACAGAAGUUUGUCUACACAAUGUACUCUUGAAUUUUCUUUUGGCUGUUGCAGUUAAUAGGUUUCGGCUCCUAUUUUAGUUUCCAAUGUUCUCAGAGAUUACCUUCAGAAUUCGAGUAGUAUGAAAAUGUGAGGCACCCUAUGGUGUUCAGUUUCAAGGAUUAAGAAACUUGGCUUUUUCGCAGUACCCAAUUAUCUACCUUUUCUGACCUUCCAUGCUUAUGGUAACAUAUUUUUCUCCAUGAUAGAUAUGGAUGGCUUAGUCAUGCUAUUAUUUGAUUGUUUACUGGUGAAUUCUGUCCAUUAGGUUCUUCAUUAAAAGUGCAGCAGGAUAAUCUAUUUCUUCGGGGCCAGUGGCAGCUAUGGCUUGAUUAAAAACAUAGGUACUUAAUGUUGCCUAAGUUUACAAUUUUGUAUUUGUAACCAAAUAUUAUCAGGCUUCAUCGAAAGUUCUGUAAAAAGUAAAGGAAUUGUGGAGCUCGAUUGCUUGGGACACAAUUCUAAAUUAAACCAAUCAGAUCCUGCACAA